GGGAAGGCGAGCAAAUGGUUUGGGAUCUGACAGUCCACUUCACAUCCCUCUCAAAAUCACUUAAGAAGUACCUAAACAGUGGGAGAUUAAGUUUGAGUUUCCCUUUGUGUAUGGAAUGGACCCAAACUUACGUAGAUCUGCUUUAUUGGUAUGCAAGAAAAAAAAAAAAAAGUGAGAUUGAAAGGGAACGAUGACUAGAGAAGAAAAAAAAAAAAAAAAAAGAUGAGAGCCUGAAGUUUACUGCUUUGCAGGAGCCGAACAGCUCAUACAUUUGAUUAGAGAGUUACGCAAUAUUUGUUGCUCUGCAAAACCAGCGAUUAUCUGGCAUGAUCAGCUCCGCAUGCAAAUUUUGGGCUAAGAAAUGGGAUAUCCUGAUAAUUCAAUGCAACCUUACUUCCGAGGACUGCCGCGAACUGCCCUCUCCGAAGAAACCACCCACAUAAUAAUGACCCUGGAGAGCAACGCAAAACCCAACUGGCUUCCACACAAACUUCGCCAAAUUACUGGGCUCGCCUCAAGACAGACAAACUGGCAAGAGAUUCUGCGAGGGGGAAAAAAAAAUAAAACACGACAACUACCCACAAAGGGGUUGGUAUUUUUUUAAAGGCAGUAUCUAAAAGCCUCCGUCACCGAGCUACUGCAAAAUCCUUCAUUCCAAGUCUACUAUCUCCAGGUGACCUCACAGGCUUUGUUUUUCCUUCUUAUUCCGUUAUGUUAUUUCUCUUUCUCUUUCUUAUUUUCUUCCCUGUUUCUUUCUCACUCUCUUUCUUAUAUUUUGUCUAUUUUCUUCCUCGAUUUCUUUCUUUCCUUCUUUCAAUUUCUUUCUCUACCUUCUUUCCGUUCUUCUUUCUCUCUCCCUUUCUCUCUUUUUCUCACCUUUACGCUACACUUUUUGGGGGAAAUUCUCACUUAAACAGAUUUCCAACACCCCUGAUUUCUUCCAGUGCCUCCCUUCUUCAUCACCCCACCCUUUUCUUUCUAUUUCCCCCACCCCCGGGUACAGGGGAGAGGGAGAUGGGGAAUGGAAUAGAAAAGGCAGCUUGACAAAUGCAUUUUCUCAAAGAAAAAAUUAAAUGAAGAGAAACAGAUAUUAUUCCCUUACCUUUUGACGUCCAUUUCUGUGGUAUAAGUAAAAUAUAUAGGGAGGGAGAGACAGCGUUUGCUUAUCUGUUAGCUGACAAAUAUU